AUCAGCUGACAUCAAAUCAACUGACUACAAUUACAGUUUAGGUUUUUGUUAGAAUAACCAAAAAUAUAUGCACAUUUACGUAUGAUAACUUGCAUGUAAAUAGCUACUAAGCAUUUAUAUAUUCUGUAGCUAGGCUAUAGCGAAAAGAGGUUGCUAAAGCCAGCUUACUCAAUUCUAAACAAAGUAACGUUAUUUCACGUGUUGUCGGGAUUUGUGUGUUUUAACGCGUGACUAUGGACAAGCUAGCCUUAGAUGUUGGUGAUAUUCAGUCCAGGCCAAUGGCGUGUCGUAAAAGGGGAGAUCUGCUAUUUUGUGAAUUUUUAGG